rnacentral:rRNA from 1 species
GAGUUUGAUCUUGGCUCAGAACGAACGCUGGCGGCAGGCUUAACACAUGCAAGUUGAACGCGUGUAGCAAUACACGAGUGGCGCACGGGUGAGUAACGCGUGGCAAUCUGCCGAGAAGUGGGGGAUAGCUCGCCGAAAGGCGAAUUAAUACCGCAUGUGGUUAGUGAGGACAUCCUCGCGACACCAAAGCCGGGGUAACCUGGCGCUUCUUGAUGAGCCCGCGGCCUAUCAGCUAGUUGGUGAGGUAACGGCUCACCAAGGCUAUGACGGGUAGCUGGUCUGAGAGGACGACCAGCCACACUGGAACUGAGACACGGUCCAGACACCUACGGGUGGCAGCAGUCGAGAAUUUUUCUCAAUGGGGGAAACCCUGAAGGAGCGACGCCGCGUGGAGGAUGAAGGUCUUCGGAUUGUAAACUCCUGUCAUUUGGGAACAAUUGCUACGCGUUAACUGCGCGGAGCUUGAUAGUACCAGAAGAGGAAGAGACGGCUAACUCUGUGCCAGC